CUGAAAACAUGGAGAAAGGCGAUGAGGCGAAUUUCCAUCAAGUGAAAAGGUGACAUUUAUGUAGCUGAAAGAAGAGGGUAACCUAGACUCUUUCCUGUAGAAUUUGGAGAGGGAGAGAGACAGAGACAGAGAGAGGGGAAGGAAGGGAGGAAAAGAUGGGUGAAAAAAGAGGAACAGAGAAACAGUGGAAGAUAAGGUAUGGGAAGGAAACCAGGAUGAAGACAUCGUUGUGAUCGUUGCAGAACCGCCACGUGCUGUGCGCGUGGUAAACCAUCGUUACAGCUGUUAAACUAGUGGGACUCAGUGGGAUGGGUUUACAAACAAGAGUCUAUGGAGACUAUUAGGUGCCAAAACUAUUUAAGCAAAGAGAUAUCACUAUCAGAAAGUCAGCGUGAACCCUAGCUGAAAUUUUAGCAAAAUCUGAAUAAUGGCUUCAUUGAUGAGGAAUUCUUUGCCUUGGCAUCAGGUGAAACGGCAUAUUUGUGUCUUGCAAAACCAGACUUUCAUUUUUGACCCAAUGAGUACAAGGGAACUUACUCCUCAGGUUUCAUCCUCAGAUUACAAUUUCAUCUUUUACCCUAGUAAUGCAGAUAUUAAAGUGAUUAAACAGCUUUUCCCCAGGGAAAAAAAUAAUUUGGCAUGGUGUAUUUAAUUCAUUUAUAUUUUAAAAGAAAUUUUUAAGAAACUACAAGCCAUUUGGAAUGUCUGCAGUCACACUGUUUGCCUCCUGCAAUGUACAGAUCUCUGGAUUUUCUGGUUGCUGUUACUUCCUAGACAGUGCAACAAAUAUCAGACUGUUUCUUGGGGAAAAUCUACAGUUCCUUAGUCCAACGUGUCUGACUCAUAAACCCUGUCAUCAAGGACAAACAGAUGAUAGAAGCAGGGAUGUGCUCCUGGAGACACAUGGACCAGUAAGGGAAAUGCUUCUUUUUUUCAAUGCUCCAAUCAGGCUCCUUCCUAAACCUUUGAAGGUAAUCCAGGGCUGGACAUGGGUCUCCCUUGACUUUUAGUAGGGUGAUCCUUUCACACGCUCCAUUAAUAAAUCCUUUAAACUUGUGCCGAAUACCUGUGCA
rnacentral:lncRNA from 1 species